rnacentral:rRNA from 1 species
GGUGAACGCUGGCGGUAGGCCUAACACAUGCAAGUCGAACGGCAGCACAGUAAGAGCUUGCUCUUACGGGUGGCGAGUGGCGGACGGGUGAGGAAUACAUCGGAAUCUACUUUUUCGUGGGGGAUAACGUAGGGAAACUUACGCUAAUACCGCAUACGACCUACGGGUGAAAGCAGGGGAUCUUCGGACCUUGCGCGAUUGAAUGAGCCGAUGUCGGAUUAGCUAGUUGGCGGGGUAAAGGCCCACCAAGGCGACGAUCCGUAGCUGGUCUGAGAGGAUGAUAAGCCACCUGGAAACUGAGACACGGUCCAGACCCCUACGGGAGGCAGCAGGGGGGAAUAUUGGACAAUGGCGCAAGCCUGAUCCAGCCAUACCGCGUGGGUGAAGAAGGCCUUCGGGUUGUAAAGCCCUUUUGUUGGGAAAGAAAAGCAGCAGGUUAAUACCCCGCUGUUCUGACGGUACCCAAAGAAUAAGCACCGGCUAACUUCGUG